rnacentral:rRNA from 1 species
GUUGUGUAAUAAGUUUUAAGUGAAAUUUUAUAUAUAUGAUAAUAUACUUUUAAUACUAUUACGCUAGAGUUUAUUAGGAGUUAACGGAACCUCUAUAAUCAGAGUUGAAAUGCGUUAAAGAUAGAGAGAACUCCAAUGGCGAAAGCAGUUAACUAUAGUAGACUGACACUGAGGCACGAAGGCAUGGGAAUCGAAGAGGAUUAGGUACCCUCGUAGUCUAUGCUGUCAACGAUGAAUGUUAAAGGGUAGUGUUAACUAUUCUUACAGCUAACGCGUUAAACAUUCCGCCUGGGAACUACGAUCGCAAGAUUAAAACCUAAAGAAAUUGACGGAGAUCUGCUACAAGCAGUGGAGCAUGUGAUUUAAUUCGAUACACCGCGAGAAAUCUUACCAAUCCUUGUCAUAUUAGAUAUAGAUAGUAGAUAUUGUAGUAAUAUACAAUAAAUGAUUUCUAUCUCUCAUAAAGCAUAAAACAGGACGAUAGUUUCAUAGCAUUGUCUAUAUAUAUAUAAUAUCUAAUACAGGUGUUGCAUGGCUGUCGUAAGUUCGUGUUGUGAGGCGUUAGGUUAAUUCCCAUGAACGAACGAGACCCUCAUUUAUAUUUAAGUUACGCACUAACAAAAAAACUAUAAAAUUAGGGGAUGACGUCAAGUCAUUAUGGCCUUAAUGGGUGGGGCCUAUCCAA